rnacentral:misc_RNA from 1 species
GUGAAUCAUCGAAUCUUUUAACGCACCUUGCGCUCUUUGGUAUUCCGAAGAGCAUGCCUGUUUGAGUGUCAUGAAAAUAUCAACCUUGACUUGGGUUUUGUGCUCUAGUCUCGGCUUGGAAUUGGGUGCUUGCCGCUUUUACGAGCGGCUCACCUUAAAUGUAUUAGCUGGAUCUGUCUUUGAGACUUGGUUUGACUUGGCGUAAUAAGUAUUUCGCUAAGGACAUUCUUCGGAGUGGCCUCGUUUCUAGGACGCUUGUCCGCUUUCCAAUACAAGUUCCACCUCGUGGACAUGACUUUU